rnacentral:tRNA from 1 species
GGGCCUUUACCUCAGGGGGUUAAAGCGCACCCCUGAUAAGGGUGAGGUCCCGGGUUCAAGUCCAGGAGGGCCCA